AGUGAACGCUGGCGGUAGGCCUAACACAUGCAAGUCGAACGGCAGCACAGUAAGGGCUUGCUCUUACGGGUGGCGAGUGGCGGACGGGUGAGGAAUACAUCGGAAUCUACUUUUUCGUGGGGGAUAACGUAGGGAAACUUACGCUAAUACCGCAUACGACCUACGGGUGAAAGCAGGGGAUCUUCGGACCUUGCGCGAUUGAAUGAGCCGAUGUCGGAUUAGCUAGUUGGCGGGGUAAAGGCCCACCAAGGCGACGAUCCGUAGCUGGUCUGAGAGGAUGAUCAGCCACACUGGAACUGAGACACGGUCCAGACUCCUACGGGAGGCAGCAGUGGGGAAUAUUGGACAAAGGGCGCAAGCCUGAUCCAGCCAUACCGCGUGGGUGAAGAAGGCCUUCGGGUUGUAAAGCCCUUUUGUUGGGAAAGUAAAGCAGCAGGUUAAUACCCCGCUGUUCUGACGGUACCCAAAGAAUAAGCACCGGCUAACUUCGUG
rnacentral:rRNA from 1 species